AUUGAACGCUGGCGGCAUGCUUUACACAUGCAAGUCGAACGGUAACAGGCCUUCGGGUGCUGACGAGUGGCGAACGGGUGAGUAAUGCAUCGGAACGUACCCAGGGGUGGGGGAUAACGCAGCGUAAGCUGUGCUAAUACCGCAUGUGAUCUGAGGAUGAAAGCGGGGGACCGAGCAGCAAUGUUUGGCCUCGCGCCUUUGGAGCGGCCGAUGUCGGAUUAGCUAGUUGGUGGGGUAAAGGCCUACCAAGGCGACGAUCCGUAGCUGGUCUGAGAGGACGACCAGCCACACUGGGACUGAGACACGGCCCAGACUCCUACGGGAGGCAGCAGUGGGGAAUUUUGGACAAUGGGCGCAAGCCUGAUCCAGCAAUGCCGCGUGCGGGAAGAAGGCCUUCGGGUUGUAAACCGCUUUCGGCAGGAACGAAACGGUGUCCGCUAAUACCGGGCGCUAAUGACGGUACCUGCAGAAUAAGCACCGGCUAACUACGUG
rnacentral:rRNA from 1 species